rnacentral:tRNA from 3 species
AUUUUAAGCAUCAAAUAUAAAAAAUUUAUUAUUUUUUUAUUAUAA